GAAUGUGAGGGUAAUCUGUCUGUGACAGCUGUCACCCCAGUUAUCUCUAGGUUUGAUUUGACUGAUCUGGCUGCCCGGUGGGUAUCCCUUCCUCUCUCACCACUCUGUGUGUGUCCCUCCUGAGGCUGUUCGCUUGGUGGAAGAGGACAAUCUUCCCCAACAGAGGAGGAACAUUCUUCUGUGAAGUGUAGAGGAGUAACUUUGCUCCCCUGCUAAAAUCUCAAAACAGGUUCUCAGGGUCCAUUUAUAGAAGAAUGUAGGCUAGUCAAACUUCCAAGACUCCGGACACAUCCAAAUGAGGCACUGUAUGUGACAGUCUUUCUUUCUUC
ensembl:misc_RNA 7SK 7SK RNA